rnacentral:rRNA from 1 species
CCCGGGUGGCUGCAGUGGGGAAUAUUGGACAAUGGGCGAAAGCCUGAUCCAGCCAUGCCGCGUGUGUGAAGAAGGCCUUCGGGUUGUAAAGCACUUUCAGUGGGGAAGAAAGCCUUGGGGCUAAUACCCUCGAGGAAGGACAUCACCCACAGAAGAAGCACCGGCUAACUCCGUGCCAGCAGCCGCGGUAAUACGGAGGGUGCGAGCGUUAAUCGGAAUUACUGGGCGUAAAGCGCGCGUAGGCGGUCUGAUAAGCCGGUUGUGAAAGCCCCGGGCUCAACCUGGGAACGGCAUCCGGAACUGUCAGGCUAGAGUGCAGGAGAGGAAGGUAGAAUUCCCGGUGUAGCGGUGAAAUGCGUAGAGAUCGGGAGGAAUACCAGUGGCGAAGGCGGCCUUCUGGACUGACACUGACGCUGAGGUGCGAAAGCGUGGGUAGCAAACAGGAUUAGAUACCCUGGUAGUC